UAGUCCACGCCCUAAACGAUGUUCACUCGAUGUUUGGCCCUUGCGGUUGAGCAUCCAAGCGAAAGCGAUAAGUGAACCACCUGGGGAGUACGUUCGCAAGAAUGAAACUCAAAGGAAUUGACGGGGGCCCGCACAAGCGGUGGAGCAUGUGGCUUAAUUCGAUGCAACGCGAGGAACCUUACCUGGGCUCGAACACUACCGGACAACCUCUGAAAGGGGGCUUCCUUCGGGUCGGUAGUGAGGUGCUGCAUGGCUGUCGUCAGUUCGUGUCGUGAGAUGUUGGGUUAAGUCCCGCAACGAACGCAACCCCUAUCGUUAGUUACCAGCGAGUAAUGUCGGGAACUCUAGCGAGACUGCCUGCGCAAGCAGUGAGGAAGGUGGGGAUGACGUCAAGUCAUCAUGGCCCUUACGCCCAGGGCUGCACACGUGCUACAAUGGACGGUACAACAGGCAGCCACUUCGCAAGAAGGAGCUAAUCCCUAAAGCCGUUCUCAGUUCGGAUCGG
rnacentral:rRNA from 1 species